rnacentral:rRNA from 1 species
AUGGCUUCCGCCCUAGGAGCCCAGGUGGCUGCCGUGGCGCCGAUUGGUUCGGAUGGUCGCCACUACAGGAGUUGUUCUUCGCUCAAGGGUAAUAACUCCUGCAAUAAGUCAUGGACUGGAAAAUUAGCAUGGGAAAACAAGACCCUGCAACCAAGACAUACGAAGAAGGUCUUUUGCAUGUCCGUGCAACAAGCAAGCAAAAGUAAAUGUAAAGUUGCUAUUAAACCUCUGGAGCUGGAGAAUACAAAGGAGCCACCCCUCAACUUGUACAAACCAAAGGGACCCUACACAGCCUCAAUUGUCUCCGUUGAGAGAAUUGUAGGUCCUAAAACUCCUGGUGAAACAUGUCACUUUGUCAUUGACCAUGGUGGUAAUGUCCCAUACUGGGAAGGACAAAGUUAUGGUGUCAUUCCUCCAGGAGAGAACCCAAAGAAACCUGGGGCCCCAAAUACCGUCCGACUCUAUUCUAUUGCGUCUACUAGGUAUGGUGAUUCUUUUGAUGGAAGGACUGCUAGUCUUUGUGUGUGCCGUGCUGUUUAUUAUGAUCCUGAAACUGGAAAAGAAGAUCCUUCAAAGAAGGGUAUCUGCAGUAACUUCUUGUGUGACUCAAAACUGGGUGACAAAAUUCAGAUCACAGGUAUGCAGCCGUGUAAAAAGCCUUAA